GGCCAGAAGCACAUGAUUUUAUCUCCAUCACUGGCCAUGGAGUUAAAGCCACGGUUCAUAACAAGGAAAUAAUGGUGGGAAACAAGAGCUUGAUGUUGGAUAAUAACAUUGACAUACCACCUGAUGCUGAAGAAAUGCUAGCAGAAACAGAGGGAAUGGCUCAAACCGGGAUCUUAGUAUCUAUUGACGGGGAAUUGACUGGAGUUUUAGCCAUAUCCGAUCCACUGAAACCAGGUGCUCAUGAAGUCAUUUCCAUUCUAAAGUCGAUGCAAGUGAGAAGCAUCGUGGUGACAGGCGACAACUGGGGAACUGCCAAAUCCAUUGCCAAUGAAGUUGGAAUUGAAGAUGUUAUAGCUGAAGCCAAACCUGAACAGAAAGCAGAGAAAGUGAAGGAGUUACAGGUACAAUGCAAAUUAUCUGCAUCUCAUAUAUGCAUGUUUCGCACUUGUAUCGAUUACAUACAAGAUUCAUUAUCUUGUUGACAGGCUUUAGGAUAUACUGUGGCAAUGGUGGGAGAUGGCAUCAAUGACUCGCCAGCACUUGUAGCAGCAGAUGUUGGAAUGGCAAUUGGUGCAGGCACGGACAUUGCAAUAGAGGCAGCUGAUAUUGUCCUGAUGAAGAGUAAUUUGGAGGAUGUGAUAACUGCUAUAGACUUGUCGAGGAAAACUUUUUCGCGUAUUCGUCUGAACUACAUUUGGGCUCUGGGUUAUAACCUUUUAGGCAUACCAAUUGCUGCGGGAGCCCUUUUCCCGACUACUGGAUUCCGUUUACCUCCAUGGAUUGCUGGAGCUGCAAUGGCAGCCUCUUCAGUUAGUGUUGUUUGCUGCUCUCUGUUGCUGAAGAAUUACAAGAGGCCUAAGAAGCUGAAUAAUCUUGAGAUUCGUGAAAUUUGUUGGAAAAAUAGCAAAUCAAUAUGUUAUUUUGAGGGCACAUUUUGAGUGGGUCCCACUUAGCGAAAGUGGGAAAUAUUGUGAAGUUCGGGUUCUACUCCGUGAAUACUUCGAAAAUGUAUAUUUAUUUACUCAAAAUGGUGCUUGGGUGAAUGAGAAAUUGUCUCUCAAAGUGUACCCUUGAAGUUGAAAAUUUGAAAGAAAAUGAGAUUUAUCCCAUAAGGGAAAAAUAAGCUAAGGGAUUUGUGUUUAUAUAUUGACACUUAUCAUGCAUGAGCAAGAAUCUCACGCGCACAGAGGGGUGCGAAUCCAAGACCGAUUUGGUUGAAUUCGUGUGUGCCCGUGUUUUUAAUUUCUUUUUUAAGUUUUUUGUAUCAGUUUUACAAUUUUUGAAUUCAAAGGAUUUGUAACCAAGUUCACAAUUUUUUUUUGGGUUGUUAUGCAAUUCAAUUUUUGAAUUCAAUUGGCUGAAUUGAAUUUAAACAAUUCAAUUGGCUGUUACAACAAUUAAAUGGCAUAUAUUGAAUUUGAAAAUUCAAUACUUUGCUAUUGUUAAAUCCUCACGUGUAUAAAAAGGCAGCUUACUCUUCUGUUUUACACACACAGAAACCAGCACACAGAGCACUUAAAAUUUUCUUUCCUCAUUCUUACGUCUGAUUUUCUGAUUGAGUUUGCCGCUGUUGUGGUUCGCCGGAAUUAUUUGUCUGCGCUUGACGGAUAAUUCGUGCUCGUUGUAUCCUGGGAAACAGUUACCAGCAAACCUAAAGCACUGCAGUAGGUGGUAAAUAUGUUUUAAGGACACUGUGUUACAGGCCUCGGGUUUAGUGUUACAGGCCUCGCACUGCAGUAGGUGGUAAAUAUGUUUUAAGGACACUGUGUUACAGGCCUCGGGUUUAUUUUCUUUGUUUUGUUUGAUUUCCAGUUAUUGUUUUUUGCUGCUGUUUAAUUUUAAUUGUUGUCUUGCUGCAGUUUAAUCUGUUAUCAAUUAAUUCCGUGUAAUUAGCUACUGGUUUUAUUUGUUAACUCACUGUUGUUAUUUUACUAACAGAAUUAUGAUAGAGUGAUUUAUGAUGAUGGUUCUUGAUUUAGUGCCCUGUAAUGUACAUAUAUGUUAAGGUGAAAAACACCCUUGAAAUAAGUUAGCCAUCUUAUUCGUAAUGACGAUCUUGGUUAGAGUGGCAGUUUAUGUACAGUCAUUCGGUUUGUUUAUGUAGGACUGUUUAAUGCUAAAUGAAUUUGUGGUUUUUUAUACUCAAGUUGUCGUUUCUUUCGUAAUAGUCUCUUUUGAUCCUCUCUUUUGAUUCUCUCUUUCUCAUUGCAAGACGGUUGGCUGCUUCGGCCCAAUUUUCGAAGACGAAACAGGCUUCAUAUGGUAGAUUUCAAUUUUAGGAAGGAUUAAAUAUAUAAAGUUGUGAGGCAAAUUCAGUUGCAAUAAAAAGUUACAAUAAUACCAACAAAGUGUUGGCUCUACUGGCAAUGGAGUCUCCUUAAGUGGUUUGAUUGGGUUUACUUCCCAGUUCGAGUCGCAGGGAAGUCACCUUUGUUGGGAGAAUCUGUGCCUCCCGAUUCGAGCGGGGACUUCUAAUCUGAGUUGUGGUACGAGCUUAAAGGUGUCUCCCAUAGUUGGGACCCUCCCCAAAAUAUCUCGUGGAUAAGACAAAAAAAAAAGUUACAAUAAUAAUAAAUUCUCUUCAUUUUAAUGUUUUUAUUUCCCCACAUCUUUUAAAAAAAAUCAUGGGGGAUAUCGCAAAAAAAAAAAAAAAGAGUAACUCUGUCGACGAAUCAUCAUGAGCUUUCAUUCCUCUGUCGUCGAAUCAAAAUUGGCGAUCAUGUUGGACUUUCAAAUCAACACUCUGUCGUGGAAUCAUCAUGAGCUUGCAUUACUUCUGCCCUGACGCCAAAUUCUAAUUUACAAAGGAAAGAAAAGGGUAUUCGUAAUGCAAUGAUACGAUGGCCCCCACUCCCCAACCGCACGAGAUUAAAAAUAAUGGUUUUUUUUUUAUAAGUUGAUUAUGAUAAUAAAUUAUCACUUAUAUUAUAUGAGAUUAUUAUUAAUAUUUAUAAUUAAAUUAUCAUUUAUUUUUACAUAAGACUAUUACUGAAACUAAUUUAUAUAUAUUUUAUAUGAAACACUGUCCAUAUUUUUUUAUUAUUUAUAAUAUUUGAGAGAUGUCUACUCCACACACAUUGAUAAGAAAAAAAGACUGACUUUCAAUCAAUUAUAAGUUAUAAUUGGUGAAGGUAGCAACCCAGCUACUCGACGAAUGGUCGAGUGACCCAAUGGCUUUCUUGUUAAGCCUCACUGCCCAACAAAUUUUCAUUUCCAAAUUUAUCCCAUCAUCAAUUUAUGAGUGGAGCUUGCAACGCCCUCAAGAAAUUUUAUUUUUUGUUUUUAUAUUAUUUUUUAUAAAAUAAAAAAUAAAUAUAGGAUUACAAUGAAAAUUUUAAUUUAAUUUUACUAUUAUUUAGAAUGUAUUUAAUUAAGUUAUAAAAAAUAUUUUUUUUAAUAGAACUAUUAUUAAGUAAUUUACUUCUUUAUUAUUUCAAAAUUAUUUUGAUUUUAUCUAUAAAUUAAUUAUAUCAUAUAUGAGGAUUAAAAAAUAUUUAAGGGUUCAUAAUUUCUAAAUAUAUCUCAGUUUAGUUAAAUUCAUAUUUUUCCUUUUAUGUAAAGUGUCAUUUUUAUUUUAAAUAGAUGAUAUUUAGAUAAAGUCGUAAAACAUUGGUAGAAAAGUGAUAAAAUCAAUGCCAACCUAAUCUUUAUCAGUAAGGUGAAUUUUUUAUUUCUAAGGGUUGGCGUCACAGAGCAAAAUGGCAUGGUCGCAUUUGGAGCAUGAUGGGUAGGGAUGUCAAAAAUUCCCACAGAGAUGGAGGCUUUAAGGAAAAUUUAUGAAUACAUUUAAAAUUUAAUUUGUAAUUGUGUAAAUAACAACAACAACAACACCAAUAAUAAUAACAUCUAAUAUAAACACUUCAAGAUUGUCGAAGAUAACUUUGCUGAUAAUUUAUACAAUGUAACUUUUAUGGAUUUGUUUAACAUUGAAAUUCUAUUUUUGUUUAAUUUCAUAGACUGUAUUGUAAUUUUGAUGAUAUGAACUUAGUUUGUUGGAAAUAAUUUUAAUUUUUUAAAUUUAUUUUUAUACUUUUGUGUUGCUAGUACGAUUUUAUACUUUUACAAAAUAAUAUAAUUAAAUUAAGUUUAGAAAAUAAAGUUUCAGUUAUUAAAAGAUUGCGUAUUCUCGGUGAUCCCCUCUUGUCCCCUCAAAUAAUUUUAAAGAGGACGGAAAGGUAGGAGGAUCCCUAAUGAUGUGUAUUAUAUAGUGGAAAAUUCAAUCAUAAACUUGAAGGAGGUUGUUUAUAUUUUUUAAAUGGAGCCAUCAUCACUCAUGCAUAUUAUAAAUAUAUUUUGUCUCGGGUUUGGUGGAGAUGAUAUAAUAAAGUUCAGAAGCAGUAUGCUAGCUUUUUAUAUACAAUAUUUGUCUGACCAUGGGGAUUCUUUCAGCAUAAACAGCGAGCGUUUAGUAAACGUAGUAUAUUAAAAUUUAAAGUUUCAGUCUGUACCUUAAUUACAUUUAUAUUUAAAAGAAGAGUGUGGUGGUGGAUCGAUCGAACCUAGAGAAGUUUAUUAAUUCCACAAAAACUAAAGCACAAUCAGACUCUCCACGUACUGUUUGACGAGAUUGAGUUAUUUAUUUUAGUUUAAGAAUUUGCUUGUGUUAGUGUGUUACAGCGCUGCAUGUCACAAAACAUACGGUCUCUCCCAAUAUUAAUAAACUUUUUUAUAAUUUUAAAAGCAGACAGCACACGAUACGUCUUUGUUAUAUAUGCAAGGAGAAGAAAAGAAAAGAAAGAAAUUAAGCAAGUUACAAGUGAUAUAUCAUGUAAUAUUAAUAGGUGCGGUAAUGGCGACCAGCAAGUUGCUGGCAUUGGCUUGUAUACGAAACGAGAGUAGUAGUUAUAGGGACUUGUUGACAUCGACACCCAAGUACCCGAAAGUUGUGUCGGGUCCGGUAAAGUCCUGCAGCAGAGCAAUAUUAUUAUCGGUGAAGGGAAUGACUUGCUCGGCCUGUGCAGUGUCCAUCGAGAAAGCCAUCAAACGCCUUCCUGGAAUACACGACGCCGUCGUUGAUGUCUUGAAUAACAGGGCUCAAGUGUUGGGGAGGCACCCUCCCCAAGAUACCUCGUGAUUAAUGUGCAAGUUUUUUUUUUUUUUUUUUUAAUAUCGUCAAGGAGGAGACAAUUCUUAAGGCAAUUGAGGAUGUUGGAUUUAAAGCAACGCUCGUCCCUGGGGAAAAAAUUGAGAAAUCUACUCAAGUAUGUCGAAUACGCAUUAAUAAACGAGCAUGCACUUCAUGCUCCUCGACUGUUGAAAAAACUUUUCAAGCAAUUCAGGGUGUACAGAAUGCCCAUGUCACCUUAGCUACUGAAGAAGCAGAAGUUCACUACGAUCCGAGAAUUCUGAGCUACAAUCAGCUUUUGAAAGCUAUUGAAGAUACAGGAUUUGAAGCCAUACCAAUCAGCACAGGAGAAGAUAUCGUAAGCAAGAUCCAUCUUCACCUUGAUGGCCUAUAUACUGAUCAUUCAGUGACAAUGAUUGAAAGUUCUCUUCAAGCGCUCCCCGGCGUUCUUGACAUUGACUUGGAUCCUAGCAUACAUAAAAUUUCCAUUUCUUACAAGCCAGCCAUGACAGGACCCAGAAACUUUAUAAAAAUGAUAGAAUCAACUGCUUCUGGGCAUUUUAAGGCCAGAAUAUUUCCUGAAGGUGAAGGAAGAGAAGCACAGAAACAGGCAGAGAUUAAGAAAUACUACAGAUCAUUUCUAUGGAGUUUGGCUUUUACCAUUCCUGUUUUUUUAACCUCCAUGGUCUUCAUGUAUAUCCCAGGUAUCAAGAAUGUACUGGAUACCAAAAUAGUUAAUAUGCUUACUAUUGGAGAGAUUAUAAGGUGGGUGCUAUCAACUCCUGUGCAGUUCAUUGUAGGCAGAAGAUUCUACACCGGUUCUUACAAAGCUCUGCGCAUUGGUUCUCCUAAUAUGGAUGUUUUGAUUGCCCUGGGAACUAAUGCAGCUUACUUUUAUUCGGUUUACUCAGUGUUGAGAGCAGCUCUUUCUCCAUAUUUUAUAGGUAAAGAUUUUUUCGAGACUACUUCAAUGCUUAUAUCCUUUAUUCUGCUUGGAAAUACCUAGAAGUUCUGGCCAAGGGAAAGACAUCUGAGGCUAUUGCCAAGCUUUUGGACUUGGCACCCGAAACAGCGACACUGCUGACUAUGGAUGAGGAAGGCAAUGUGAUAAGCGAAGAAGAAAUUGAUAGUCGAUUGAUACAAAGGAAUGAUGUAAUUAAAAUUAUUCCUGGUGCAAAAGUAGCUUCAGAUGGUUAUGUUUUGUGGGGAAAAAGCUAUGUGAAUGAGAGUAUGAUAACUGGAGAAGCGAGGCCAGUGGCCAAGAGGGAGGGUGAUACAGUAACCGGUGGCACUUUGAAUGAGAAUGGGGUGUUACAUAUUAAGGCAACAAGGGUUGGACCACAGAGUGCUCUUGCUCAAAUUGUUCGACUUGUCGAAUCAGCUCAGAUGGCUAAGGCUCCAGUUCAAAAGUUCGCUGAUCGCGCUUCCAAAUACUUUGUGCCUCUGGUAAUUUUACAACAUAAUUGUUCUAGGUUCUGCAUUUUUCUAUGAAUACGUUGAGGAAUCUAAAGUAAAUUUCCAGUUUUUUAUUAAUGAAUAUCUCUGUUCGUUCUGAGGUCAUCAUCUUGUCAUUUUCAACAUGGCUUGCUUGGUAUUUGGCUGGAAAUUUCCAUGGCUACCCAGAAUCCUGGAUACCAUCUUCAAUGGAUAGCUUUGAGCUUGCACUACAGUUUGGAAUCUCUGUCAUAGUCAUAGCGUGUCCAUGUGCUCUGGGCCUAGCAACUCCGACUGCUGUAAUGGUUGGUACUGGAGUUGGUGCAUCUCAGGGAGUACUGAUUAAAGGGGGACAAGCACUUGAAAGUACCCAUAAGGUUAGCAAUGCCCUUAAUGUUGCUGUUUAAUACUAGUUUAUUCUUAUUUAUUUAUUUAUUCAAAAAGACUUGAAUUGAUAACCAACUGCUCUGUUAAAAAUAAUGUAGGUGAAUUGCAUUGUGUUUGACAAAACAGGAACUAUGACAAUUGGAAAGCCGGUCGUUGUUAGUACAAAACUUUUGAAAAAUAUGGUACUAAGAGACUUCUAUGAACUUGUUGCAGCAACUGAGGUUUUUUUUUUUUUUCGGUUUUUUUUUUCUGUGGAGAUAUUGUUCUUUUAAGAGAGCUGGUCAUAGUCAUUAUUGCUUAUAAUGAAUUGACUAUUGAUACCAUUUGUUGCAAUUCAUCUUCUACGCUAACAGUGAGCAUCCAUUAGCCAAGGCUAUCAUUGAAUAUGCUAAUAAGUUUAGAGAAGAUGAAGAGAAUCAUAUGUGGCCAGAAGCUCAAGAUUUUGUCUCCAUAACUGGCCAUGGAGUGAAAGCCAUCGUGCGAAACAAGGAGAUAAUGGUCGGAAAUAAGAGCUUGAUGUUGGAUAAUAACAUUGACAUACCACCUGAUACUGAAGAAAUGCUAACCGAAACUGAAGGAAUGGCUCAAACUGAGAUCCUAGUAUCUGUAGACGGGGAAUUGACUGGAGUUUUAUCCAUAUCUGAUCCAUUGAAACCAGGUGCUCAUGGGGUCAUUUCCAUUCUAAAGUCAAUGCAAAUAAGGAGCAUCUUGGUGACAGGUGACAAUUGGGGAACUGCCAAAUCUAUUGCAAGCGAAGUUGGAAUUGAAACUGUUAUAGCUGAAGCCAAAC
rnacentral:lncRNA from 1 species